AACUUGAUAGAAAUGGUGAAGUCGCCUAAGUUUGGAUUUUUAUGGAAUGGAGCAAACUGACAAAAAUCCCUGGGAUGGAGCAGGUUCAGGACACCAGAGUGCUCACGAUUUUUAAAUAUCAAAUAACUCCGAAGAGACAGUUUUAGAUGGAGUUUUGUGUGUGGAUUCAUGGCCUAUGUCAAACAUACAGCAGCUGCACAUGGUCCAAUCUGCUCUGCAGUCCGUGCCCGACAGCCGCUUCAUCUGGCAGUGCAGGAACACACAGUUAAAAAUGCAGGUUCUGGAAUCAGCCUCAGGGCAAUUUCCUGAAGGUGACUGAGAAAAUCAAGCCCAUUCAUGGUAGAUCUGAAUUUAUUACUCAUGGACUUUCACCUCCUCUAGAAAAAAAAAAGAGAGGGCUUAGCAAUAAACGUCCAAGCCGGCCCUUCUUCACAGUGGUGGCUGAACUGUCAUCAGGAGAAAGCAUGGAAUACAUGAUGCCACUGGAUCAUUCGUCUCCCAGCUGUAACUAUCAAGGUCUGCUUAACAAUGAAUGAAGAUUCCUGUGUCUUGCACUUUCCUGGCAGGAACUUCUCUGGCUUGCCAGGUAAAUACCUUCUGAUUUCUCAACUGUCCCCUACUUUAAGCUGGGGACAUUUUUUAUAGUUUCUUCUCUGAUCAGUUUUUUCCCCCUGAUCCUGAUGUGUUCCAAGAAAACAAGCAUAUUCUUUGUACUAUCAGGACAAGGUGCUAGACCCUCCUCUUGCAAGGUGGACUCAGCUUUCCCCCAAUUAUUAUUUCUAGUUUGAUUUCAGCUUUCUUUAACAGUGGUACCAAAAUUGUGCAAAGCUUUCUGUCUGGCUGUAGAGUAGAACACUUUUCAAACUGGGUCACCCUCUGCCAGGUGAACUUUUAGUCCAAGUUCAAAGUCAAAAGAAUCAGAAAGCCAAGAGUUAUCACCCUGAGGAUAAAAUUCACUGAGCUUUUAAGCCAUAAAUGCUGUGCACGGCAGCACCUCUGUUCCUUACAGCAGGCCAAAAUGCCACUGUGUGCUUUGCAAGCGACACUGCCUUUUUUCUCAGGGUGUUCGUUUCUCUGCUCUUCAUUCUCUGAUGCCUCAUUUCUGACUCAUCCCAUGAACCAAGCCAAGGAAGAACGGGAACGAGAGCUGAGGCUUCAUGUUUGUCUUCCCUGCUGUCCCUGUGUGCUGGGAGCCAAGAGUUUCCUGGUUCUGUAACUCUGUAAAUGGCAACAGACUUACAAAACAAGGAAAAACGUGAUUCUGUGGGGCUGAAAUUCUGAUCCCAAUUCACAAAUGCAAUAGACAAAUUUAGAUUACAUUUGCACUCUUUGAGUGAAGGGGGUGAUUUAAUCUCUGCUAGAGUGUUUUAAGAGUUCAGAUUUUUGAAUAUGGAAUAAUUAUUAAAUUACGUGAAAUAUUAACCGGCAUCACCAGUUUUCAUUUAAAACGGUUUGAAACGAGAACGAAACGAAGAAGUUGUCUCAUAUCACCAAUAAAACUCACGGACCAGCCAAAAAAUCUUAGUGAAGUGCCACCCAGUGGCUGCGGAGCGACAUGGCCGCACCUGCGCCAGGGCAGUGCCCAGCAAACGCCAUGGAAUUUGGAAGGGAAAACACCUGAACAGGGCUUUUAAAAAACUCUGCUGUCAGCUGCGAUUUGUCUCUCAGAGCAGCGCACCCUGAAACACGGGGUAAGUCACGUUCUAACAUGAGAGGUGGGUCCCACUGCAGUCCAUGAAAUAUUAAAAUGUACAUCAAUGGGCAAGGAUUUCUGAAUUUAAAUUUUAAUUCCAGAUUUAAUACUGAUGAACUUUGUGAACCUAAUUCCUCUGGGCUUGAGUUCCUCAAUCUGCAAACUAGACACAAUACAGGGAUAGUUGUGCCUUUGUUAGGUCAGUUCUUAUAAAUAUAUUCUAUUUUCAGAUGGAAACUGCUACUAAAGAGCUUGAUGUUGUCAGGUGUUUUAAAAACAGUCUUCUAAUGGCAAGUAAUGGAAUUGCUCAUACACAGGAGGUGGAGAAGCUGCUAUGCUGCUCAGCCUAAAGGGAAAGAAAGUUCGCUUUCAACAGGUCACUCAUGAAAGUGGAACCAGUGGAAGAGAUCAGCUGAGGAGCUCCCGGGGUCCUCCCCAGCUCUCACUCUGCACCCUGGUGGAGGUGACGUGCCCCAGAGCCGUUCCCUUGCAGCUCUGCCUGCAGCACACACAACCUUUCUGUGUGGGAGGCUUGAGCACAGGUCUCUUUAUCAGGCACCUAACUCCUUUUUGUGACUUGCCUUCUGCAAUAUGGGCAGCCAAGCAUUGAGGCGACAUCUUUAUUUUCUUCUUGGACUUGCCCUCGGAUAAAAGAAAUUCUGGCAACUGCUUAAAGUAUUGCACAUUUCCAAAGAGUUUGACUGAAGCAUAUUGUUCUUGUGGAUUCUUUGCUGCUAUUAUUGUGAGAUAAACAGGUUAAAUAUUGACUACAUAAUUUCAGUUGCCAAGAUUGUAAGUGGGCAACUACUGAAAUAUGCAAGUACAUCAUGUAAGUCUAGAUCAAAACAAUCUGACAUGAAAGGAAUGAUCAGUUAUCUAUAAUAUGUGUGGAUCCCUCAGAAAAUGCAGUUAUAUUCUAGGAGGUUCUGAGAUAAAGUAGGUAGAUGUUUUGUGUGUGUAAAUUAGUGCACUGCACUGAUUCCUCUAACAAAUAUGGAGCUGAUCAAUUAAUACGGUCUGCAGUUCAAAACCAUGGCCCUCCAGUGGCUCCAAAGGGUUGGGGAGAUUUUUAGGAAACCUAAAAAUUCUAAUGCAUGUCUUGAAUUUGGGGAUAUCCCCAGUCCAUUUGGUAUGACUCAGGUCUCAAAACACUUUGAUGUUUUUAUUUUCUUAUAUGAACUUUAAAUCGCGGAUGUAAGUUUUUAAUAAUUUACAGAACUUAGAGAAUUUUGGAGUAACUUUUCAUACUCUUAUAUGUACUUCAAACCAUGAAUAAGUCUGCUUUGGGGCAAAUUUGUGAGGACAUGAUUUGAUAUGAGUUCUAAGUCUUUCUCUGAAUGCAAACCAGAAAAGGACUUCUGGAUCACAGAUACACAGAUGGUAUUGUACCUUAAUUUUCUGCUAUCCUGGGAACUCAUUAGUUUCUCAUUAUAUCUUUUGUCUAAACAUAAUUUUGUAUCAAGUAAUUAAGCAAUGAGUUUGCUAUCCUCUUUCUCAUGAGCAUAUGCUUAAGGGUAUAUACAAUUCUCUAUUGGUAAAUGGUACUGUGGAAACAUUGCUCUGGUUAAAAAUCAUGAGUUGAUAAGAAAGAAGUUAGUGACAAGAAAGUUGUGGUCCCACAAGAUAAAACAUUAUUUUGUAGCAACAUUGGGCAAUGUGCUAAAACUAUACAGCUUCUUUUUAAACAGCUUUCAAUAUUAGUCUGCACAAUUAGCUUAUCUUUUCUUAUAGUAAAAUCAUAUAUUUUGAUAAUAUUUAAUUUUCAUAGUGUUCCUAAGCUGGCAAGGAUAUACACCACAGAAGUCAAGUGAUCUUUUUACUGCAUGGUUUACAUAAUUUUUCUUAUAUUUUGUCUCUGGAAAAUAUUUUCUGGCUGUAUGUUAUUGUUUAAUCCAGUGACAUUUGUUUGGACCAGCUUUGCAGUUCCUGGGCUUCUGAAUUUGCUUAUUGUAGUGCCUAUAUAUAAACUGCCUGGUAACUAGAAAAUUUCAAUACACUGAAACAUAUUGUAAACGUUUUGUCCUCCAUGAUGUAGUAUUUAUGUUUCCUUUACUGCUUUAAAACAACUUCAAUACUGAGAAGAUACAGAGUUUGCAAGGGAGGAGGGAAAUAAUAGGGGAAAAGUGUAAAAUGUCACAUGGUAUGUGUCUUUAAUUCUAUCAUCAGAGGCUCAAAAGAGGAAAAUUCAAACUUGUUACAGUUGAGAUACUAUCUUUUUGAAAAAUUGAACAAGGAGAUAUUCUGGUUUAUUGUGGAGCUUUCUAAUAAAUAAAAAAAUAUAAUUCUGGAUGAAGACCCAGUUUUAAGGCAUGUUUAGUAGAUCCCAUAACUUUGUUCUAGCUAGCAUUUAAACAGUCAUGCUCCCAAAUACUUCAUUCAUCCCAGCAACCUGCUUUAUACCUCCAAAGCAUUUUUUACUGUUUUGUGUUUAGUCUAUUCUGGAUGGGGGUAUACAGGAAACCAUUACUCAGGGUUCAUAGGAAAGCGAUUUUUCUCAGAACAUUUCUUGAGGAAAGAGAGUUGUGUGAAGGUUUUCAUAAAUUGGCUGCUAAAUUCAAAAUUUCAUUGCAAUUUACCUGUGCCUAUUAGAAAUCCUUGUCCCAGCUCUGGCUGGUAACUGUCUCCACUCUUUUUUAGAGCUCUCUUGCAGUAUUCAGGAUAUGCAAGUCGUUUUAAGGGGCUGUUCUGUUUUUCUUGGGCAAAUCUGUAAUUUUUUGGCCCUUCAACACUGCAGUAGGAAAAUGUAGUUAUCCCUUAGGAAAAUCUCAGAUAUUGACUAAGGAGUAAACCAUUAGAUCAGGUUGUUGCUGACACGAGAUAUUCCAAUGUGCUAUUACAAUAAUGAACACUUCCUUUGCUUUAAAGAUUUUAUUAAGGUUCCCAGGAGGGCAAAACAACCAAUCAGUUUAACAACGAGCUCUCCAUUUAGCUCAUGUUACCAUGUGGGGCACUUUGCCACGGCCUGGUUCCUUCCCUGCAGCUCCAUUAGCUGGUGGUGUAGUGGAAGCAGCCCAUUCCCCCAACAGCCCCUUGCAUACAAAGGUAGCUGUUCUUUUUUGUCUUUAAAAAUGCUUCAAAACUGGUGACACUUCUUUAUAUAAGCACAACAAAUACCCUAAAAAUAGAAUAUUUUGUGUAGGACCUGGUGCUCAUUGAAUGAAAGACUAGUUGCACACAGUCAAGACAGGAGCCUGAGAGAGAACCAGAGGAUUGCUGCCAGUUGUAUUAGAAAACCAGGCAAAAGACUUGGAAGAAGAAAAGGAAACUGGUCCACUUGCAGGCAGGGUAAAUAUUUUAGGUGGAUUUUGUUUUGUUUGUUUUGAUCAGGUAAAUUCAUUUUAAAGCUGUAUGGUUUGGCUUCUUGUGUUCCUUGGAUUUCAAAG